GCCAGCAUGGCAUAGUGGUUAGAGCAUUGGACUACCACUCUGGAGACUAGGGUUCAGUUCCCCAUUUGGCC